rnacentral:rRNA from 1 species
GGUGAACGCUGGCGGCGUGCCUAAUACAUGCAAGUCGAGCGAAUGGAUUAAGAGCUUGCUCUUAUGAAGUUAGCGGCGGACGGGUGAGUAACACGUGGGUAACCUGCCCAUAAGACUGGGAUAACUCCGGGAAACCGGGGCUAAUACCGGAUAACAUUUUGAACCGCAUGGUUCGAAAUUGAAAGGCGGCUUCGGCUGUCACUUAUGGAUGGACCCGCGUCGCAUUAGCUAGUUGGUGAGGUAACGGCUCACCAAGGCAACGAUGCGUAGCCGACCUGGGAGGGUGAUCGGCCACACGGGGACUGAGACACGGCCCAGACUCCUACGGGAGGCAGCAGUAGGGAAUCUUCCGCAAUGGACGAAAGUCUGACGGAGCAACGCCGCGUGAGUGAUGAAGGCUUUCGGGUCGUAAAACUCUGUUGUUAGGGAAGAACAAGUGCUAGUUGAAUAAGCUGACACCUUGACGGUACCUAACCAGAAAGCCACGGCUAACUACGUGCCAGCAGCCGCAGUAA